rnacentral:rRNA from 1 species
AUGAUUUGACGAAAGAAAAUCUGUCUUAGCUUAUUAAAAAAAAAUUAACCUAGAAGUUAAAAGGCUUCUAUUUCCUAAAAGGACGACAAGACCCUAUAAAGCUUUAUUUAUAAUAUUUUUAUUUACUUCAAUAAAAAAAUAUGAAUUUAUAAAUUCUAUUGGGGCGAUAGAUAAAUAAACAUUAUUGACUAUAACGUUUUUAACGAAAUUUAUAAAAUGUUUUUAAAACCUACAACAAGUUACUUUAGGGAUAACAGCAUAAUUUCUUUUUAGAGUCCUUAUCGACAAAGAAGAUUAUGACCUCGAUGUUGGAUUAAG